rnacentral:rRNA from 1 species
UAGUCCACGCCGUAAACGAUGAUCACUCGUUGUAUGCCUAUAUUUGGUAUGCGACUGAGCGAAAGCAUUAAGUGAUCCACCUGGGGAGUACGUUCGCAAGAAUGAAACUCAAAGGAAUUGACGGGGGCCCGCACAAGCGGUGGAACAUGUGGUUUAAUUCGAUGAUACGCGAGGAACCUUACCUGGGCUUAAAUGUAGAGUGCAUUAAUUGGAAACAGUUAUUUUCUUCGGAACUCUUUACAAGGUGCUGCAUGGUUGUCGUCAGCUCGUGCCGUGAGGUGUCGGGUUAAGUCCCAUAACGAGCGCAACCCCUACUGCUAGUUGCUAACAGGUUAAGCUGAGGACUCUAGCGGGACUGCCGGUGUAAACCGCGAGGAAGGUGGGGAUGACGUCAAAUCAGCACGGCCCUUAUGUCCAGGGCUACACACGUGUUACAAUGGCCGAUACAAUGAGCAGCUACCAGGUGACUGGAUGCUAAUCUCCAAAGUCGGUCUCAGUUCGG